rnacentral:tRNA from 1 species
UUCGCGUUGGCGCAGUUGGUAGCGCGCUGAGCACAUAACUCAGAGGGCAUGGGUUCGAUUCCUAUACGCGGGA